UAAACGGCCUUUAGUCACAUCAGAAGAGAAAAAAGAGCUUACAUGCAAAACAAAUAGUUUGGGGAAUUCACAAACUUAGUAGCACGCCUCAAUUGAUACUGGGAGCAGUUUUUUUUUUUUUUUUGAAACGAGGCAAAAGCUUUGCCUUUCAUUGAUAUCUUCUCUUUCUUAAUAGAUGGCCCCAUUUUCUUGGUCUCACAGUGAGCCACGUAGCCUUAUUACCUUGCACAUCGUCGUGGUGACUCGUGAGUAGCUUCCCCUUGGUUCGGACCGUCAUGGGCUGUAGCUUCAGACUGAUAUGGGCUGGGAUUAUGUUGUUCGGCUAGCAAAUGGGCUACAUUUUCGUUCGUCGGCUCACAAGCUCGGCCGACUCGCUGGACGUUUUCGCAAAAAAAAAGUCAGCAACCUAGCUAUUUUGUUCGGCUUCCUCCCCGCCGCCAACGUCCGUCCUCCGCCCAACGAAUGUGCUGCCGCGACAUAAUGCUCAUGAAAUUACUACGUGUUAAAUCCGGGCAUUCAACAACCGAAAACUUCUCAAUGGAGCUCAUUCCCCGCCGCCCUUGCCUCCAGCCUUAAAAAGCAAGCCAUGCUGACAUCCGCAUCCACACCAAUUACUCCCCAUCCUAUUCCUCCUUUACUUUUUACAAUCCCUCGGUACAUCUUCCUAAUCUGUAAGGUUCAUCUCCGGCUGGAAAAGCGCUGGACGGUCUACCUACACCUGAAUCCAUCGGAUUGUCAGCUGCUACCUCGGGCCCUCCUGGUUUAUUUGGAUUUCUUGCCUCUCAGUCUGCUCGCUGGAGAUUUCUGGGUCUGAUGGCCUGCAUGCGGACAGAUUCUUGCCUGAGUGCAUGUUGUUUGUUUUUCAGGUAAGUAUUGGCUACAUAUGGCAAAACAAAUUGAAUGGGGCUGGAGCAUAUCCUUGAGUUCCUUUUUUUAUCGCAGAAUGAAGAUUUUAUGAGUCAAAUGAAGAUUUUAUGACCCAGAUUGUAUUUCAGCUUUGCAAGCCGGUGUUGGAUCAGAUGCAAAUACAGGAAUUAUCACCGCUUACCUUUUUAUCGCAGUUUUUAUAACCUAUAUAUUCGUUAUUUCAGGUAUAGAAAAUGCCAGGUUGUUCAUGCAGCAAUAGGCUCAGCAUCUUGGCUGAUUUUCUGUUGUACAUGCGCUGUAUGCUAGUAAGGUCUCUCUACAAUCUCCUACUAGAUUGUUGUUCCCCAAAUUCCAUUGCAGAAUGGCAGAUAUACAUUCAUCCUCCCUGACUGAUACAAACAAUUGGUGGCACUGGAAGCAUGCGCCAGUGAAGCGUUGUAAUCCUCUAUCAGGUAGUGACGAACAACACAACAGCUGAGCUAUCAUAUAUUGUACUCAUAAAAUAUUCAGGUUUCAGAGGCUCACAGGAGAUAGUGAUGAACCGAGUUCAUGUACGGAAGAAACUCAUUUUGAUCCAUUUCCUGAAGGGACAGAUUGUUUGGUGGCUUGAUGCAGAUUUGUUCUUCUUCCUUUUUCCAUUGGUGUGGGUUGUGUCAUAAGAGCGAAGGAAAAAAUCCGCCGUGUCCAGUUCCUGUCGUGGCAUUUUGCCUGUCUAUGUUGUUGUGCAAAUUUGGUUAGUAUUUGACAUCAGCCUAAAAGGUGUUUUCCAUGUAUCAAUGUUCCAGCUUGGCUCUCUCCAGUUACUUGGUGCAAUUGUUAUUUUAAUAUUUAUUUAUUCCGUUCGUAUUGA